UUUGUACGUACGUGUCGUGUCGUGUCGCCUCGUUUUUUUUCGAAAAGGAGGCCUUGCCCCGGCCUCUGCAUCGAAUGAUGCAUACAGCCAUAUAUUAAUCCAAAUAAGUAUCCAGUAAGUACAGAAUAUAUAAAAAAGGAAAAAAGAGAUACAUGGCGAACAUCGCGCCGCAGCCUGGAAUGGCUAAAAGAUGAAGAUGACUAAACACAUAUCCUAUUAAUAUUCCGCCAUCCAAACCGGUUGAAGAUACCCUGUGCUAUCAUCUCCCAGCGGGCACACCCAGUAACCAUAAGCUCCCUGGCUGCCACAGGAGUUAGUAACGACCAUGCGCGGAUCAGUGCGGUAAUUCGGUAGAUAACGUGCAAGAAUUGGAUAUCACGAGUUCUGUUAAAAACCAAAUCAUUUUUGCUAUUCCAUAAAGCCCAAAGAAGAGCACAUGCUCCGACACGAAUAGAUUUAGCCAAUUUAACAUCAAUUCCCUGUAACCACGUUCCAAAUAACGAGUUCAAGUCAACAGGAGGAGCGAUGUUAAAAGCAAUGUGAAUUGAUCGCCAAACAAUUUUAGCCAAAGGACAGUCGAGAAAGAGGUGGUGAAUACUUUCUAGGCUUGGACAGAAAGAACAUCUGGAACUCCCUUUCCAAUUCCGUUUGGCCAAAUUAUCCUUAGUUAAAAUAACUCCCUUGUGAACAAACCACAAGAAAACUUUAAUUCUAAGAGGGACCCUAACCUUCCAAAUAUGUAUUGAUUUUGGAAUUGGUACUGAAUCAAUGAGAUCGGAAUACAUGGAUUUAACCGUAAACAACCCAUUUGGUGUUAAUCUCCGAGAUACGAUCACACCUAGCAGAAAUAUUAACCUCCAUUAAUCUUCUAACUAGAUGCAACCAUGAAACCCAUCUAUCCCCAACUAAAGAUCUGCGGAAUUGAAUAUUAAGGGGAAUCUCCCGCAAUACAGCCGCAACUGUCACUUGUCGACGUUGGGCGAUAUGGUACAACCGCGGGUAUUGAACUGCCAGAGGCGAUUCUCCUAACCAGGUGUCUUCUCAGAAUCUAGUCAAUUCCCCAUUUCCAAUGAUGAACCUCAAUCUGUGGUAGAAUGAACUUUUUACCCGCAUUAGACCCUUCCAAAAUGUCGAGUCAAAAGGUCUCGCUUCUACGUGCGAUAAGGAUUUGGAGUGCAGGUACUUGUUUGAGAGAAUUUCCACCCACAAUCCAUCGGUUUCCAUUGACAGUCUAUACAGCCACUUGCUGAGCAGACAUUUAUUUUUAGUUUCCAAAUUUUCAAUACCUAAUCCUCCUUGAUCUUUAGGACGGCAAAUAAUAUCCCAUUUCACCAAUCUAUAUUUAGUCUUAACCUCAUCACUCUGCCAGAAAAAGCGAGAGCGGUAGAAAUCCAAUCUUUUACGUACCCCAACAGGUAUUUCAAAAAAGGAUAGGAGGAACAUAGGCAUACUUGUUAAUACCGAAUUCACCAAGACUAAUCUGCCUCCAUAAGAAAGAAGCUUGCCUUUCCAAGUAGUAAGUUUCUUUUUAAACCGUUCCUCAAUACAUUUCCACUCUGCAUUAGAUAGUUUACGAUGGUGAAUGGGGAUUCCUAAGUACGUAAAAGGAAAUUCCCCUGCCACACAUCCGAACAACUGGUUAUAUAUGUGUUGUUGCUUUUUGGCUUCCCCAAAACAAAACAACUCACUUUUAUUAAAGUUAAUCUUCAACCCAGAUAACUGCUCAAAAAGGCACAAGAUGAGUUUGAGGUUUUUGGCUUUGAGUAAAUCGUGCUCCAUAAAGAGAAUCGUAUCAUCAGCAUAUUGUAGAAUUGAAACUCCCCCAUCCACCAGAUGAGGUACUAAUCCAGAAACAAGGUUUUUUUCGUUAGCUCUCUUGAUCAACAGAGCCAACAUAUCCGCAACGAUAUUGAAGAGAAUGGGAGACAUAGGGUCACCUUGUCUUAGUCCCUUUAGUGUCUGGAAGAAGUGACCAAUAUCAUCAUUGACCUUGAUCCCGACACUCCCUCUUGUGAUAAAGGAAUCUAUGUGUUUUCUCCAAACCUCAUCGAACCCCUUCAUCCACAAUGUUUGUUGCAAGAACGACCAUUUGACUUUGUCAUAUGCCUUUUCAAAAUCCACUUUAAAGAUAACUCCAUCUAGUUUCUUAGAGUGCAUUUCGUGCAGAGUCUCAUGUAGAACCACUACCCCUUCAAGUAUAUUACGCCCAGGCAUAAACGCUGUUUGCGAAGAUAGCACGACAGAGUGUGCCAUCUUCGUUAGUCUAUCCGUUCCAACCUUUGUGAAAUUUUUGAAACUAACAUUAAGCAAACAAAUCGGGCGAAACUGUUCAAUACGAGACGCUCCUUCCUUCUUUGGUAUCAACGUAAUAGUACCAAAAUUCAAAUGGAAUAGUUGGAGAUUACCAGCAUACAAAUCAUCAAACAUAGCCAUAAGGUCCUUCUUAAUGAUGUGCCAGCAGUGUUUGUAAAAUUCUGCCGGAAACCCAUCCGGACCAGGAGCCUUACCACACUUCAAACCUCCUAUCGCAUCUAACACCUCUUUCUCCGAGAAUGGAGCAGAUAAAGACUCAUUAUCAGCCUCCCCAACUUGGGGAAUAUCUGCAACCUGAUACUCGUCCAUAGUCACAAAACUAUCUUGAUGAGCACCAAACAACUGUUUAUAAUAGUUAGAGAUAUAUAAUUUUAGAUUCUCAUGACCAACUAUGGUGCCUUCAUCCUGUUCAAGCUGCACUAUCCUCUUGUUUCUGUGCUUGCCAUUAGCUAUUAAAUGGAAGAACUUAGUGUUAUUAUCCCCAAGAAUAAUAGCUUUAACUUUAGCUCUAUUCGCCCACUUCAUCUCCUCCUCUCUGAGAAGAGAACGAAGCCUUUGUUCCGCCUCAAAUCUUAGUGACGUUCAUCUCCAUCUAAAACAGUGUUCUCUGCUUUUCUAUCCAGCUCAUCGAUAAAGUUUAUGAGCCUAUCUCUCUCAUCUUUAUAUGUCCCCGAGACAUGCUUGGCCCAACCGCGAAGGUACUGUCUCAGGUGUCUGAUUUUAUUUUGCCAACGUUGUAUACUCGUUGAACCGCCCGAUGACCUAUUCCAUUCCCUGUGAACCAGGUCCAUAAAUCCCUCCCUUAAGAACCAACUGGAUUCGAAAGAGAAACUAUCUUUAUUACCCAGAUAUAAUGCAUCCCCAGUAUCCAACAACAAGGGGGUAUGAUCCGAAAUCGCCCUUUGGAGUGCACGAACCGAAACCAAAGGAAACUUCUGUUCCCAGUCCACACUGGUAAGAACUCUAUCUAACUUCUCAAAAGUUUGAUCUGGAAGGGAAUUUGCCCAAGUGAAAUUCCUACCUCUGAGUUAUAUCUCCCGUAGUUCUAGGCUCUCAAUAAUAGUAUUGAACAAGAAUGGCCAUCUACCAUCAAAAUUGCUAUUAUUCUUUUCAUAGGCCCAACGGAUAAUAUUAAAAUCUCCACCAAUCAGUAAAGGCAGUUGUUCAUCGCAGAUGCGAACUAAGUCGGCCAAGAAUUCAGAUUUAAGCUCAGGCUGAGCAGCCCCAUACACCGCUACUAGAGCCCACCUGAAACCAUCCAUUUUGGAUGUAAUCUUGAAUUUCACCGCAAAAUCGCCGAACACUACUUCCCUAACCUGGAGUGUAUCACAUCUAACUCCUAGUAAUAUCCCUCCAGACCUUCCUCUUGGUGGAAGACAGUGCCAAUCAAAAUCAAUCCCUGCUGAGAGGGAGCUCAGAAACUGAGAGGAGAACUUAUCUCUCACAGUCUCUAGGACGGCAAUAAAGUCGAGCUUGUGCUCCGUCGUGGCUUCGGCGAGGAAUCUAGUUUUAGCCAAGUCGCGAAGACCUCUGCUAUUCCAAAAAAUCCCUCUCAUCUUUCAUCAUAGAAUUUCUUAGCAGUCUUAAAGCGUGCACUCCUACGAAUAGCAGAGACCGGAUAAACUUUCCUAUUCCAGGCCCGUUUAAUUUUCUGCCCUUGACCCUGGUCCAUAUAACCGUGAUCAUCGGAGUCAUUAUGACCAACACCCUCCUCACCUACAGUGUUAUCAAGAACCGAAUCCUGACCUUCAUUAAGCUCAUCUAUGGGGUAUAGAUUCUGACAUAAAGAAUUCAGCCCCCAAGGUUAGAAAUCUCUACAUCUGUCAUUAGUUUAACCGCAGCUAAAUUCCUAACGAUAUCCAACACCCUAUCAACCUCUAGGUCUAAUAAUUCAUUAAUAGAUUUCGCAACUUCUGCAUUCGUAUUACCAAGCGAGACCCCAAUGGCUGACGCUUUUUCAAUAAUUUCAGGAGAUGAAAACUGCAAAAUAGAAUGCUCCAAAUUAACCGACAUACCUGUUGACGAUUCAGCAUCCUUCAAUUUUGCAAUCCUAGAUGCCCGAUCCAUCUGCCAAUCAUCCGCAUCUGGCUGGCUCUGAAUCCGGUCGCUAACCCUCCGGUCCGACGUCACAGGAUCUGGAAUACCCCCAAACUGUAUGACCGCUUCCUCAGAGAUAAAGGUAUGAGGUGUCUCCAUCAGCGGGGCCGCCGAAGAAUCGGCGACCAUAGUCCCUGCCUGGGUGGAUAAACUAGAAAAUCUAGAAACCUCCUGCACUGACCCCAUACUCGGCACAGACAGUGCUGUCCUAUCAUCCUCCCGUCUGACCUGCAGCAGGUAACGAUCCAGAGAAAUCGGCUGUAGACCCACAACCGGGGAGGAAGGUUGUGCCGAUGCCCCAGCAACUUGCUUCCCAAAGGACCUCUUCAUCUGUGAAUCGCCGAGUCUGAACGGCACCGCGUCUGGCAGGAAUGAACCAAAGCGUAGCUGAGCCCCUGGAGUCACACCCCCUGUUGCCGGCUCAGUCUCCCCCUCCUUCGAAUCCAGUGCAGCCGACCCAGAAGCAGUAUGAGGCUAAGAAGGAAAUUGUCCCUUAUCUGCAUUACCAGCACCGGAAUCCCCGUCCAUGUCCGGCAUGUCAAUGUCAGGGUCCAUCGCUGUGUGAACAGCUGCCGAUGGAAUCUCAAUCUCAAGACGUAGGGUAAAUCUCUUACCCUCAAAAAUCCAAAGUACUUCCUCCGGAAACAGUGCACUAUCUAGAACACUCACUAACAACCGAACCGCUCCAUUAGCCCGAGUGAACACCAUAUCCACUUGCUCCGUUUUACCAAUUAGAGAGCCAAAACUCCAAGCCACAGUAAAAUCAUUAACUGCCUUAGACGGAGCACCAUAAAAGCGAACCCAGACCUGGUCCAGAGGCACCCCUUGAGGCUCAUCAUCUGCCCAAACAUCAAACUCCAGAAUACAACUCGUGCUAGGAACUCUGCACAUACCAAAUUUGAGUAGACGGGCCAGAUCUUCUUUAGAAGGAAAGACGACCUUAAAGACAGAAUCCGAAAUCGCAAUCGGCUCCCACCUAAAAGUAGCUGACACCAGAUCUCGUAGCUGUUGCACCACCUGGUCAACAGUCAUCUUACCACUGGCAACGGUGAUCUUGCCUAUAAGAGCUACAUCUGGCGUAUGUGUCGAAGUGGAAAUCGCAGGGGACUCGAAGAACAUCAACUCCUCAGAACAUACCCCAUAGAUAUUCAUAACGGGCAUCGGUCCCUUCAUCAGAGGACAUGAGGAUGAACCAUGCGCUGGCUUAAGACAAAGCUCACAGAGCACCGCCGAGCACUCAGACACAAAGUGCCCAUUCUCACCACAACGACAACACGUCAUCUUUUCCUUCUUACGCGCCCACUUAGUUGGACGAUCUGCCCCUUCUAUCCGUGGAGGUCCAAUAUCUUUGUCUACACCCACAGUAGAUGGUACACCUCCAAUGGUCGCAAUUAAUGGAAUAUCAGCAGGCUUCUGCGUUGACUCCUUGUCAGCAGCAACAGGACCCGCAUUGGGCGGUAAUCCCCUACCACCACCACGACCUCCCCACCGUCCUCUAUAUCCACCUCUCUUGGGACCUGCUGGACCUGGAACGAAAUUACCAUAAGGACCCGAAAAACCCUGUCCAGAACCGGCAUUAGAUUGCCAAGCAUAUCCUCGGCCUCCCCCUUGUGACGACGAACCACGAUGCUGACCAGCUCCAUACGCAUUGACCCCAUCGUCUCCCCAUCGUCCGCGGGGUUGCAUGCGAUUAAAAUUAGCCCCAGCUUGCCCUCCUGACUCGGCCGAUCUAGGAACAGCCUGACCAUCACCCGCCCCUGCCUUAACCGCCGCUGGAACCGGGUUAGGAGGCAUCCGAGGUGCCGGUCCUCGGCUACCGGAGACCUGCUGCGAGGCCGCCUGAACACCGCCCGCUCCUGCCUUAGCCGCCGCUGGGACCGAGGUAGGAGGCAGCCGAGGUGCCGGUCCUCGGCUACCGGAAACCUGCUGCGAGGCCGCCGUCGCCCGCUGUUGCGACUGAGCUGGGACUUGUCUGCCGGACAUCUGCGAGGCCGUCGGCGCCCGCUGUUGCGACCGUGCUGGGACAUCUCUGCCGGACAUCACGAGCGACCUAGUGUAAGGGACUCGCGGCGCCCGCGUGAUUUUCUGUCUAGGGAAUCCGACCCUGGGCUGCUUUAAAAAGACCCGAGCAGCCGAGUCCCGGCCAACGUUGCUAUCCGGCUGGAGUCCCUCCUGCGGACGCAACGAGUUCGUAUCGAACUUGGCCUCAACAUGCUGUACCGCAUUACAGGAAACCUCAUGGCAGUGUUGACGAGUCUCAUCGGGCCACCUGGAGGCCGUCUGGGACGUGCUGGACUUGGUAUCCACCUGCUGAAUCUCCUGUCCAACAACCGAGAACGACUCGGAUUGAGCAUCGGCCCGAUCAGCAACAGGCAAUACACCCUCCUGCCCAACAACCAAAAUCGAGUCGGACUGAACAUCGGCCCGAUCGGCACCAUGCACUACAGCAGAUUUUCCUUCCUUCUGGCAGUCUUCUCGGGCAUCAUCGGGUCGCCUAGAACCCGGCUGGGCCAUAUACCCAGUCUGCAGUUCUAAUUUCGGCACCUGACCCAUCCCGUCCGCUCCAAUUGCUGCCGCGAGAAACGCCUCCCGUACAGCUCCUGUGGACUGCAUCACCAGCGGCACAUGCGUCGCAUUCGGCAGUCUACGCUGUCGUCGGCUCCUUCCCACGGGCCAACUACCCGGAACAAGAAAAUCAGAAAGUAAAAUUGGACUCCUACUAACCUUAGGAAGUGGCCUAAUCCAAGGUUUAGGCCUCGGAACAUCCAUCUUCUUCCUCGGUAAAUGAAAAUCUCGCUGGAUCUUGCACUCCACCGAUAUCCCAUCAGGCGAUGCUAGAGAAACCGGAGAAUGUACCGGAGAAGAAGGAGGAAUCUCUUCCUCAAUGUCUGUGUCGGAAUUGUAAUCUGCAAGAACCCAGAAUUUUCCACCUACCCGGGGAGGAGCCGAAGCAUUCUUCACCUCAAAAUCCCCCUCGAAGUGAUCAGGUUUAAUGAGCAGAACUAAAAGACCAUCCAUCUCUAAUUCUAGUCCAAUCCUGAGAUCCUGAUACAUGAGAUAUGAGCCUGCAAAAAUAUCUCCCUCGGCAUCUCGAAUCGUAGCCCACCCAGAAGAAAGAUGAACAACUAGCGAUCCACGCUGAUCUACCUUAGAUACAUCCUUAGAGAUCGAGAAACUCACCUCCCAGAUAAGAUGAACACCUGCAGAACAGCCUCGUGAAAAAUCAGUACAUACCUUGGUAUCGCGGGACGUCUGCCUCGGCUUCGCCAAGGGUCUUGUCGACGACAGGAACCUCCCCACCACCUCCUUGAACACCAGGGUCGACGGAAACCAAAGUAGAGGGCCGCUUGGCUCCGGCGCCGUCCUGCUGAUCUCCCGGAUCAUCACUUGACAGGGGAGAAAAUUUGUCCACCACCUGGUCGCGGGCAGCGCCAGAGAUCUUGACCUGAGACCCGAUCUCGCCGAGCCCCCCCNN
rnacentral:lncRNA from 1 species